rnacentral:piRNA from 1 species
UGGUGGCUGGCUUCCAGAUUCUGGGCCCAG